CCCUUAGAUGUUCUGGGCCGCACGCGCGCUACACUGAUGCAUUCAACAAGCCUAGCCUUGACCGAGAGGUCCGGGUAAUCUUUGAAACUGCAUCGUGAUGGGGCUAGAUUAUUGCAAUUAUUAAUCUUCAACGAGGAAUGCCUAGUAAGCGUGAUUCAUCAAAUCGCGUUGAUUACGUCCCUGCCCUUUGUACACACCGCCCGUCGCUCCUACCGAUUGAAUGUGUAGGUGAGGAGCUCGGAUUGGCAGCAGUUGGUGGUUCGCCACCGGCUAUUGCUGAGAAGUCCUCCAAACCGCCCCAUUUAGAGGAAGGAGAAGUCGUAACA
rnacentral:rRNA from 1 species